GGGACACCGGCCCUCGUGGACUGAGAUUGCCCACCUCUGGUCUAGCGCAACACCUGGAGCUAAGAGGGCAAAACAAUCGCAUGAGUGCUGCUGUUUGACUGAGGAAGAAUAAAGGAGUCGUGUGGUUGGAGUGGUUUCCACACCUAAUCGAAUCAGUUUGGAUCACUUUGCUUCACCUGAACACCCUGACAGUAUUUACACACUGCUGUCUGACUGCAUUCAGCUGACACUGAGAUGAAGCAGAAAAGAAGCAGCUGGUGAAGGUAGAAAGUGUGUGUGAGCUGAUGUGGAUGUGAAUUCAGCAGCAUGGAUCAGUGUGAGGACAGAGAGGAGGGAGUCCCUCCCUCUAAAACCACUCUGUGUGGGGAACAUGAGAGCCAGACCAAAGCUCAGAGUUCAGAGCAGCGGUACGCACUGUAUUCUGCCAGACCUGGGCCCAGCUGCAGAUCCCUAACGACUGACUUGUACUUGGAGUUACACGUGUUUUUUACUCGAAAGCGUCUCCCUUCCAGUUGGUCCUCCUCACUGUUUUGUGGAGUGAAUCAAGCACAAGACUGUACUAAACUUGAACCUGAAUCUAAACAUGAACUGAUGCCUGAAACAACAAGCAUACCUGAACAAGAAGCCUCUGCGACUUCAAAUCUUCAGAUCCUCGGUUGUAAACAUGUCAUGGAUCAGGAUCAGGCUGGGCCCCGGCAGAUGAUCUGUCCAGUGUUGAACAGCAGUGCUGUAAAAAAGACAGACGGGCUUUUAAAGGAAUGGUUGUGGGAAACUCUGGAGACUUUGGGAACUGAGGAGCUGAAAAACUUCAAGUGGUGUCUGCAAAAUGUUACUGAGUCAAAGGAUGGCUUCAAGC
ensembl:lncRNA